rnacentral:misc_RNA from 1 species
AACGCAAGUUGCGCCUGAAGCCAUUAGGCUGAGGGCACGUCUGCCUGGGCGUCACGCAUUGCGUCACCCACCUCCCCCGCGCCCCAAGCGGGCACGUCGGUGCGUGGGCGGAUAUUGGCCCCCCGUUCGCAUCCGCGCGCGGUCGGCCUAAAAAACGGGUCCCCAAUGACGGACAUCACGGCAGAGUGGUGGUUGCCUAAACCGUCGCGUCAUGUCGUGCAUGCCAUUCUUUGUCGAGGGCUGGCUCAUUGACCCUUAAGUACCAUCAACUCUGGUACCUCAACUGCGACCCCAGGUCAGGCGGGAUUAUCCGCUGAGUUUAA